GAUGAACGCUAGCGGCAGGCCUAACACAUGCAAGUCGAGGGGUAGAACACUUCGGUGUUUGAGACCGGCGCACGGGUGCGUAACGCGUAUGCAAUCUACCUUGUACAGGGGAAUAGCCCAGAGAAAUUUGGAUUAAUGCCCCAUAGUAUAUAACCUUCGCAUGUUGGUUAUAUUAAAGUUCCAACGGUACAAGAUGAGCAUGCGUCCCAUUAGUUAGUUGGUAAGGUAACGGCUUACCAAGACGAUGAUGGGUAGGGGUCCUGAGAGGGAGAUCCCCCACACUGGUACUGAGACACGGACCAGACUCCUACGGGUGGCAGCAGUGAGGAAUAUUGGUCAAUGGGCGCAAGCCUGAACCAGCCAUGCCGCGUGCAGGAAGACGGUCCUAUGGAUUGUAAACUGCUUUUAUACAGGAAGAAACAACUCUACGUGUAGAGUCUUGACGGUACUGUAGGAAUAAGGAUCGGCUAACUCCGUG
rnacentral:rRNA from 1 species